ensembl:lncRNA
GUUUGUCCUCCUCACCACUAGUUGUGUUAGCGUGCUCAUCUUGAGUAAUUGUAGAUCAGUUUUGGCUUGUAGUAAAAUCUCAGUUUGUGAAUAAACUGUUAAACCGCUUCAGCAUGUCUGCUUGUUUCCUGCACCUGAGCUCCUACUGAAAUUGUAACAUUAUUAGAACAAUGCAAAUUUUACAUGUUCUAAUCAUACUUUUUUUUGGCUCAUACAAAUUUUGUAUACAAUUACAAUAAAGCUAUUCUGUUUACAACUUAUUUUCUACUUCUAUUUAUCUGUUUUUGUGCUGCCUAUAUUUGUAAGACUUUCAAUGGGAGCAACUGUAACGGAAGCAAUUUUGUAGUUUUCUCAAAUUACAAAAAACAAGAGCAUCUCGGGAGUUUCAACUCUCUAACAAAGCAUUAUUAUAAGUCUUCUUAUAGGCUAAUUUUAUUUCUUAACUUAUUUUAAUAAGUUGAGUCAACUGUGCAUGUACUUACCUUGAGUCUACUUUCAGUAACGGUUGCUUUUUAGUUCCAAAGUGAUCUGAAAGUUCAAAAAAAAUUUCAAGUCCAAUUAAGUAGUUGCUAGCAUCAUGUAAACAAGAUAAGACAAAUUGAUUAAAGUUAAUUCAGAUGUUUGACAGUGUGUGUGAUGCAAUCCCUAAGUAUUUUCUGGAAGCUGAUAACCAGUUUCUUGCUUUUUUUGAUAUGCUGAUUAAGCACAUGUUUGAGUUUAGUAAGAAUUUCUAAAAAUACAUUCAAUGUGAGUGAUUUUACUGUCACAUCUGAAAGCUAUCCUGCAGUAGUUGCCUCCUCACAUGCUUGUAGUUCUCUCUGAUGAACAUUAGGUGGAGUCCCACCACAUGAAGUGGAUCUGGGCUCAUCAGAUUUCAUGUGAUGAUCAUUUGGGAUUGUCUCACAGUGGAAAAAGUGCCAAAAAAAAAAAUGAAUGUUAAUGCUUUGGUGUUUUAAUAUGGAGUCUGUUCAGUGUUCUAGAAGAGUGCAGUGAUGACAUUGAAAGCCAAUUCAUUAAAGGAUUUUGGACUCAGUUUUAAUUGAAGUUACUUUCUUUUUCUGGUUCUG